rnacentral:rRNA from 1 species
UAAACCAGUUACCGUUUAUUGGAUAGUCCUUACUACUUGGAUAACCGUGGUAAUUCUAGAGCUAAUCCAUGCUAAAAACCCCAACUCCGGAAGGGGUGUAUUUAUUAGAUAAAAAACCAAUGCCCUUCGGGGCUCUUUGGUGAUUCAUGAUAACUUCUCAGAUCGCAUGGCCUUGCGCCGGCGACGGUUCAUUCAAAUUUCUGCCCUAUCAACUUUCGAUGGUAAGGUAUUGGCUUACCAUGGUUUCAACGGGUAACGGGGAAUUAGGGUUCGAUUCCGGAGAGGGAGCCUGAGAAACGGCUACCACAUCCAAGGAAGGCAGCAGGCGCGCAAAUUACCCAAUCCCGACACGGGGAGGUAGUGACAAUAAAUACUGAUACAGGGCUCUUUUGGGUCUUGUAAUUGGAAUGAGUACAAUUUAAACCUCUUAACGAGGAACAAUUGGAGGGCAAGUCUGGUGCCAGCAGCCGCGGUAAUUCCAGCUCCAAUAGCGUAUAUUAAAGUUGUUGCAGUUAAAAAGCUCGUAGUUGAACCUUGGGCCUGGCUGGCAGGUCCGCCUCACCGCGUGUACUUGACCGGCCGGGCCUUCUCUUCUGGAGAACCUCAUGCCCUUUACUGGGCGUGUUGGGGACCAGGACUUUUACUUUGAAAAAAUUAGAGUGUUCAAAGCAGGCCUUUGCUCGAAUAUGUUAGCAUGGAAUAAUAGAAUAGGACGUGCGGUCCUAUUUUGUUGGUUUCUAGGACCGCCGUAAUGAUUAAUAGGGACAGUCGGGGGCAUCAGUAUUCAAUUGUCAGAGGUGAAAUUCUUGGAUUUAUUGAAGACUAACUACUGCGAAAGCAUUUGCCAAGGAUGUUUUCAUUAAUCAGUGAACGAAAGUUAGGGGAUCGAAGACGAUCAGAUACCGUCGUAGUCUUAACCAUAAACUAUGCCGACUAGGGAUCGGGCGAUGUUUCAAUAUUGACUCGCUCGGCACCUUACGAGAAAUCAAAGUGUUUGGGUCUGGGGAGAUCCA